rnacentral:rRNA from 1 species
CCUACGGGUGGCAGCAGUGAGGAAUAUUGGUCAAUGGGCGGGAGCCUGAACCAGCCAAGCCGCGUGAGGGAAGAAGGUACAGCGUAUCGUAAACCUCUUUUGUCAGGGAACAAAGGCGGGGACUAGUCCCCGGAUGAGGGUACCUGAAGAAAAAGCAUCGGCUAACUCCGUGCCAGCAGCCGCGGUAAUACGGAGGAUGCGAGCGUUAUCCGGAUUUAUUGGGUUUAAAGGGUGCGCAGGCGGCCUGUUAAGUCAGCGGGAAAAGCCCGGGGCGCAACCCCGGCGAGCCGUUGAAACUGGCGUGCUGGAGUUGGACAGAAGUACGCGGAAUGCGCGGUGUAGCGGUGAAAUGCUUAGAUAUCGCGCAGAACCCCGAUUGCGAAGGCAGCGUACCGGCUCCACACUGACGCUGAGGCACGAAAGCGUGGGUAUCGAACAGGAUUAGAUACCCGAGUAGUC